GACGAACGCUGGCGGCGUGCCUAAUACAUGCAAGUAGAACGCUGAAGGAGGAGCUUACUUCUCUGGAUGAGUUGCGAACGGGUGAGUAACGCGUAGGUAACCUGCCUGGUAGCGGGGGAUAACUAUUGGAAACGAUAGCUAAUACCGCAUAAGAGUAGAUGUUGCAUGACAUUUACUUAAAAGGUGCAAUUGCAUCACUACCAGAUGGACCUGCGUUGUAUUAGCUAGUUGGUGAGGUAACGGCUCACCAAGGCAACGAUACAUAGCCGACCUGAGAGGGUGAUCGGCCACACUGGGACUGAGACACGGCCCAGACUCCUACGGGAGGCAGCAGUAGGGAAUCUUCGGCAAUGGACGGAAGUCUGACCGAGCAACGCCGCGUGAGUGAAGAAGGUUUUCGGAUCGUAAAGCUCUGUUGUAAGAGAAGAACGAGUGUGAGAGUGGAAAGUUCACACUGUGACGGUAUCUUACCAGAAAGGGACGGCUAACUACGUG
rnacentral:rRNA from 1 species